UUGUAUCUUUCACCAUUCUUGUAGUACUGGUGUUUUUUGGUGCAGGAGAAAUCUGAAGCUUGCUAAAUAUUUCCACUUUUGAGUAACAUGAAGAUGAGUUGGCUGUUUGUGUGCGAACUGCCCCUUUAAGACGACUGAAUCAGCGCUAAAUUUGACUGAAAGGACAGGGAAAUUCAGGUCAGCCGAGGCCACACGUCUCCUGACGUUCCCUUGUAAAACUUCCAGAGAGUCCAUUAAGUCUGGUUAAUAUAAGGGACUGUCAGCGAGCUGCAACAUUAUAUCAAUGUUACGUCGGUGCCGUCCUUGACGCUUCUGUCACGCUCCUUUUAGAAAAGGGAGAGCCGGCGAUGAGAGAGACAGUCGGAGAUAAAGAAGUGAGGGAACAGAACACCAUCCAGACCAGAAACAGCUCUCAACACCUCCGUAAUGAUGUUGGACUCGCACACACAGGACUCUUUCUGUCUGCGUUUCCUCUGCUGGUCGUCCCGAGCUCUUCAGGCUGAGCUUUAAACUCUGACCUGUUCCUUUUAUCCUGCUGUGUGUUUAAACCAUUCAGGCGUGUCGGAGAAAACGAGGCCACAAAAAGCUGGAACACGAACUAGACUUUCCCUAAGCUCAAAUAAAAGGCACGAGGGGAAAAAAAGCAGGAAAGUGAUGAAGAAAAGCUGUCAGCCAAGCGUCAGAGAUGGAUGAAAGAGUUAGUGACCUCUGACCUGCCCCAGACCUCUUCCUCAGCUCCCCAAAACCCCCCAAACUCUCACAGAGCAACGACAGAUUCCUUUCAGCACAGCGUCAGCUCAACAAUAGCAUCGCCUGCAUCCCACAGAUACUGCAACUCCUCAGAAGAGAUGAGUAAUGCAUUACUUUCUUUCUGUUCACACUAUAUCUACCAAGAACCAUAAGGAAACCUGAAACAGACCCAGAUGACUGCACUUGAGUCCUGAGCGAGAAUGUAACCUUUGAUCUGUGACCUCUCAGGUCAAAGGUCAAGGGUGGUGCCGGCUUUCCCUCAUCAUCGCUAUGGAAACCACGCAAAGUGUUUGCAGUGCGUCUUUGCGGCUCUUCUACAAAUAGCAGCACAUGUCUAGAAAGCCAUGAAGCACAAGAGAAGUCCAACUUUUUCUUUUCUCUGUCAACACAUCUGUGUGAUGUGUAUUUAUUAUUGUCACAGGCUCUUAUUUGGCUUGAUCUAUGGCAGAAUGAAAUGUCAGUUUUAAAGAUAAUUAAAUUUUUUUCUCCUCCAGCAGAUCCAUUCAUCACAUUCGUGGUCCUCUGCCAUUUUUAGACUCUGGAUAACAUGCCUCGACUCAUUCCAUCUUUCUCUUGCUCUCUCACACACAUCCACAUUGAGUCACAUCCUAUUAUGUGGCACGAAGUCACCAGAAAUCUGUUAAUUACAAAGUCCAGAGCCCAACUAGUAUGAUUAUGAUGAAGUUAUUUCCAUGAGAACGUUCAGCAGUCGUGGAUUUACUGCUUCUUUUACUCUGUGUUUGUAAUCAGCAUCUCUUGUUCUCAUGGGAGGAGAGUCCUCAGUCCUCUUUAUUACACAAGCACAAUGCUGAUAAACCAAUCAGAAACACUCUUAUUAUUACCACCUGAUGACAGACUCGUGCUUGAGUGGAGAAGAAAUAAGACGCAGGGAUGGAUGGAUGGAUGGACGGAAGUCACAAUGCAGAAAAGAAUUAAGAACCCCAUUUGAAUUUCAGUUAAUUUCCCGAAUUUGAAUUGAGGCCAUUCAAACAUACAUUUAAAUUAAUUUAAAAAUGUAAAGGAAUUUAUAGAAGCAUGAAAACUUGUUUGCGGCACUGAAUAAAAAAUAAAAAAGGCAAUUGUGACUUUUUAUCUCAGAAUUUUGAUCACACUUUUUUUCAAGCAGUUGCGAGUUUACAUUAUACAGUUCGGACUUUA